CCGUUAAGUCGUGAUAAAAGGGAAUAAAAACGCAUAACACACAUAUCCAUUUAUUUGGAAAAGUUAGUUUUUAUUAUUACGACAACUAAAUCGGGUGCGACCAAAAGCCCCGUAUAACGGCAGUAUUGGGUAGAAUUCCACUGAGCCCCGACUCGGAACCCUAUAUAAAGGUGAGUGGAGUCCAUUGGAGACUUUUUACACUCUCUCUCUAUACUCUCUCUCUCUAGACUCGUUUUCGACCCAAAUCCGCAACCAAACGCUUCCAAAUCGUAAGUCCACUUACCCUAGAAUAUUCUAAACAUAUUGGCUUGUGUUUAUACCUCAAAAAUCGUCCCAGUAGGCAUGGAAUAAGGAGUUUACGGCCCAAGAACACUCUAGGGCCGUAAACCCCUAAUAUGGUGCCAAACAUGCCUUAAAACUCAUCCUUAAGCUUAGAAACUAUUAGGGGAUUUAGCCUAGGAGUGUUUAAACCCCAAAACAACAAGAUUUGUGGCAUAAAAGAGGGUUUACGGCCCAAGCACAUGCUUAGGCCGCAAACACCCUCUAAACUUGUUAAAUCAAGUUCCAAACACCUUGACUGCUAGCUACAGUACACGGCUCACCAAGCCAAGGGGUGACAAAUGUCACAUUAUAUAGACGCUUGAAGGGCGUCUGGUACUCUAGUGUCGGUUAGUAUGGUUACGAGUAUCCCGGGUUACCUUAUAAUUCAUGGCCUUAAGGUAAUAGUAUUCACCGGCAAUUUACACUGUAUGCUGGCAACUCAUUUUCAGAGUCACACUGUUUUGACCUUGCAAGACGUAUCUUUCAUUUGAUACUGUCUGGGGUCUGUCUCCUCUGUUUUGACCUUACAAGACGUAUCUCUCGUUUGAUGCUGUCUGGGGUCUGUAUCCACUGUAUUCAUAGAAUCCACUGUAUUCACUGUGUUCACUGUUUUUGACCUUGCUAGACGUAUCUUUCAUUUGAUACUGUCUGCGGUUUGUAUUCACUGUUUUGGACCUUACUAGUUGUACCUUUCAUUUGGUACCUUCUGGGGUCUGUGUCUCUAUUUGUUAGACUGAACCAGGUGUGUCGUUUGUUUGAUACUCUCCUGGAGUCUAUGAUUCCUUUGCCUUAGUCAGCAGUCCUCAUUGCUGAGGCAUAUGUUAUUUCCCUGUUGUCUCUUGCUGUCUUUAAUAAUCAAAUUUAGUAUUUUGAUAAUGAUAGCAAUUAAGGGAAAACCACUUAUUACCACAUAACACUGACCAGUCUUGGUACUCGCUUUUCAAAUAACUUGUAUUCUCAGGUUAGCAUUAGACAGGUACAUCCCCGGAGCUGUUGAUGAAGAUAGCUUAGUACCACGCUACAUUUAUUCUAUUACUUGUAUCACUUUGAUGUAUUAAUGUAACUAUGUAAAACUAUUACUAUUAAUGCAAUGUUUUGUUGUACUUUGAUUACUAUAAUGCAUGUGUUGUGAUACUUGACAUGACGUCAUCCACCCCAGAACGUUUCCGCCGUUCCGGUUUUGGGGUGUGACAGAUUGGUAUCAGAGCAUUGUUUAUAGUGAGCUAAGUAUAUCAAUUCAUAAAAGAUAUACAACCUAUAAACACAAAGGGAUAAAACACUCUGACCAAGAAUUAUACUUUAAAAUAUAACCAUAUUUUACCAAAGUAUAAUAACAUCCAGAAUCUAAACACUCGAACAAAAGUAUCACAAGAAGAACAAUAAUAAAAGUCUUCGGAUGUUGAGCACUACAGUCAAACCUGGGCAGUUAUGUAAUCGUAAGCUGGGAUAAAUGUAACCUGAUCAACUACAUUUAUCCGAGAUGCGAUGAACAUGUGCUUGGGAGUGAUAGUGGUGUACAACAGGUCUGAAACUUACCAACUAGGAAUGCUAGAGCCAAACAUAAAGUUAAAAUACUAUAGGAGUAUUUUAGAACACUAAAAGAUCCACACUAAUCCCAGAAUGAUAUUCAGAAGAUAAGAAUCAAACAAGAAUUAAAAUACCAUAGGGGUAUUUUAGAAUCCAUAAACAACCUUGCGUGAAUAACUAAAAAGAUCCUUAUUGAUAUACCUACAACUACAGAGGGUGUACUCCCAAGGUUAUAUAUAAUAAGGAUCCCAUAGGCUAAGAAUGUGUGGUUUCGCUCUAUUUCCUUUUCCUCGUUGGGAUGUGGUUCUAGAGUAGUAUCACAUAUUCGAAGGCCUAUCGGAUCUAAGCUAUAUAUGAUUUGUAUACCCUGUGUAAUCGUAGCAGGACUCGAUAUGGAUCAUACAGUGAAAUGUUAAUAAUCUCUUAGGAUUCUUUAGACAUUUCCAUUCUCGCACGAACCCUGUAGAAAACCCUACCCACUUCAGUGCUUGACAGAAGAGUUGAUUCCGACCCCGAGGAGGUUCAUUGAGAAGAUUUCCUGUUCGGAAAUAAAUGAACUGGGUCGAGACUAUUGAAUGCUCCAAGUGCCCAUAUUCUUUUAGGGACAGUGGUGAGAGAUUCGCCUAAACUUCCGAGAUUCCAGUCAUCCAUCAUGAAGCGGUGACACCCAGAGUUGGAAUCAGAAGGAAGGCAGGGUAGAAAUUCAAUGUCUUCACAAGAAAAGAACCCUAGGUAACUACCCGAAGGAAACCAACGCCGAUUCCAGCCAAAGAUAUGAGGCAGACAGAGGGAGCCAGUACACAGAACCCGAGAAUUGUCUUUUCCUCGUGUUCGUCACACUAAUAAACCCGUAAAAUAAUACAAUUUAGUGAGUUAGUGUUUACACUACUCACGCUAUGUGUUAGGUAAAUCGUCGAUUCCCGUUGCCAGAUACACGAUUAGGGCGGAUCCCUGCAUCUCUAUUGAGAGAAUUUUAGCUAUUUGUCCUUGUGAGCCUCUCUUCCCGCAGUUUCAUUCCGAACCGUUCUCAAAUCUCUCCAAGCCGGAGAGUGAAACCUUUCCCAGUAUAAAGGUAACUUAGUAGGAACGACUCGCAUCUUAUGGCCUUUUUGUGAUACUCAUACACCCACUUCGAUUACCAGGACUACAUCAUAGGGAUGUAGGUCGACACUCAAACGACCAGUACCCGAGGCACGGGAAAAUUUAUGCCUAAUACGUUCAGGACAGAAAUGUCCAGGGUUAACCAUCAUCUCUCAUUACCUUGUAUUCCUUUCCGUGUAGGAAAACCAUGCCACCGAAGAAGCGUAACCAAUCCACAAGCAAGAAACCUGCUCUCUUAUUCGAUGAAGCUACGUUCCAAGCUGCAGUCUCAGCAGCCGUAGCAGCUGUCAUGGCUCACCUGAAUGCUAACACCGCCAAUGUUAGCAAGGGCCCUGUCGGGAAUUCCAAUCCUGGCAAUGGACAGCAGCAAUCAACACUUCCAUACUCAGCCACCGAAGAGCCUCCACUGAACCCACUAAAGAGAAAACUCAAGAUAGAGGAGGGAAGUACCUCGGCUCAAGGACCUUCCGAUGGGCAACAAGCUGAGGCAGUCUAUACCCCUGUCAAUCCUUCCCUCCCGACUCCACGAAGACCAUACCUAGGAGACCUUCCCCACUGUAGCAAGUGCAGCUACCAUCAUCAUGGUGUCUAUCGGGAGCUCUAUUGUGCUAGGUGCCACAUGUUGGGGCAUACUGCUCGCGUCUACAGAACCCCGGUUGAGUUCAUUACAUCAACCACCAAUGUGGUGACCCGUACAGUUUGCCACCUAUGUGGUAAAAUUGGACACUUCAAGAAGGAGUGCCCAACCGAAGGGAAAGACAAAGACACAGAAGGAGCCUGACACUACUGCUUAGGGAGAAGCGGCAAGGAACUCGUUAGAUUUUGGUACGUCUCUCGAUAUCGGAUAACUAAACUAAGAACAAUAAAAGACUAAUUCAAAUGUAAAUUCUUCCCAGUAAGGCGAAAGUCGCAGCACUGUUAUAAAAUUUAAAAAUUCAUCAGGUAAAACUAUAACGGCUAAACAUAUACGUUACGACCAUGUAUAUUUAAGAUGGACAGACCUAGAGUGAGCGAAUACCGCCUCAUUUCCUGUUCCUCGUUUGGUUGUGGAUUUAGGGCGGGGUCGCUCAGUCAACAGUCCUCCCCACCUUAAAUAUACAUGACUAGUAUAUGUGAGGCGAUUAUAGAAAUGCCUCGUGAGAAUCCAUUCAAGAAAAGAUACUCUAAUCGGGAGCACCUAGAACUCUCUAUAGUCCGCAUCGACUCUAAUCGGUCCAAGUAUCCGCAGUAGUGAUACAUAGGACGAAACCCUGAGACGCUUAGAACUUGUGUGCCUAUUCGGCACAUGACUCUAUCGAUCUUCACUUUAUAUCCUGUCGAGGUGUGCCAACUUCGACGACUCUAUUGAUCAUGGUUUGACUUCGUGCAACCAUGUGUACAUUAUUAGUGUUGUGAGCUUUCUCCAUGGCCAUAUCGGCAAAUAAAGGUUCCUCCGAACCCGAACCUAACACAAAUAAUCACAUCUAAUGCAAUUCGUCAAUCAUACCUCUUAUCUCAAACCUUCCGAAGUACCCACGUGAGGGUACCCCGCGCCGUCGACCGACCCCUCGUAGUCAAAUGAGCACCGAAGUGAAAGGCACUGCAGAUACCUCAGAAAACGGCAACCAUCCGAGGCAUACUCCGUAGAGUCCCCUGGGAGACCCUUCUCACCUCGCACAUCAGGUUCGUGAACCCAGAGAAUAGAACUCAUGAGGCUGGCCACUAUGACCAGGUAUACUGUUGGCAUCCAUCAAGUAUUGACGGUUAAGCCAAGCAUGAGUUCUACCAUGAACCUCUUCGCAAAACACUUUCACCCCAUUCGAUAACAUAGGAGCAGAAAUCAAGAGAACUACUGUGGAUUGAGCUAGUAAAGUUCCGAGUGAAGAGACCCUAUACCCACUAGAUUUGACUUAGACCGAGAAAAACUCAGAACCUUCGGGAGAGUAGUUGCGGUAGGUGCUCGCACCUACUCCUGCACCUUGUCCACCCAGUUAUAGACCAGUGGUGCUUAUCAUUCUCCACCCUCUCGCAAGGAGGAAAUCGUCGUCGCCCUAUAGACGAUGAAUUAUAUUUUCCGAAGUAAACACUAGGAUAUCGAGAACCACAGGGCAACCUUCGCAGCCAAGAAUACUUGGUCAAGUGCGAAGGUAGUUGAGUUAAAUCUCAUGACCCGGAUCCCGAGAAGAUUAUAGACUCGACACCAGACUUGGUGUUAGUCGAGGGAUUACGUCGGAAAACGCACUUUCCACGCUAGAAUAAACCACAGUCUUAGAGAUUCAUUGGACUAUUAGGUGUUCCACGAAUACUAUCUCACGCAGAGAUAGUAGAACCACCUCCCGAGAUAGUCCAACACUCGUCUGGUGAAACCUUAUAUUCCCGACCUCCAGGGUUUCCGCAUCUCAACUUCGUUAGUGUAGAUUCCUUUUAAACAAGCUUGAGAUAGACACUCUACAGUAAACCGAUAACCAUAAUCACACAACCCACUCGACGAUUUAGAAAGUCUCUAUCAGCCAGUUGACAGAAAACACGAAACCAAAGACCACUCGAGAUUCCUAAGAACCAACCUGAAGGGCUACACNCAUUGCAGAAUACUCCAGAAGACAACAACUAUCCGAAGCGUACUUCAUAGUUUCCCCAAAAAGACCCUUCACACCUCGCACGUCAGGUUCGUAAGCAUAGAGAUUAGGACUCAUGAGACUGACCACUAUAACUAGGUAUAUGCGUAAAGGUGGCAUAUAAUUGAGAUCAAAAAGAUUUAAGGUGUCUUUUUCCUCCCUAUUCCCUGUUCCUCAUUGGGUUGUGGGUUUGGGGUGGAGUCGCAUAGCUGAACAUCCUGCCGACCUCAAUUGUAUACUGCCUGCAUACACCCGGUAUUUGUGGUUAGACAAAGCAUGAGCUCUACCACGAACCUCUUCGCAAGACACUUUCACCCUAUUCCAUAACAUAGGAGUCGGAGUCAAUAUAAUCACUACGGGAGUCAAGAUAAUCACUGUGGGUUAAGCUAGUAAAGUUCCGAGUGAUGAGACCCUAUACUCACUAGAAUUGACCUAGACCGAGAAAAUUCAAAACCUUCGGAAGAGUAGUUGUAGUAGAUGUUCGCACUACUCAGGCACCUCGUCCACCCAGUUAUAGACAAGUGGUGCUUAUCAUCCUCCACCCUCUCGCAAGGAGGAAAUCGUCGUCGCUCGGUAGGCGAAGAAUCACACUUUCCGAAGUAAACACUAGAAUACCGAGAACCAUAGGAUAACCUUCGCAGCCAAGAAUACAUGAUCAAAGAGCGAAAGUAGUUACGUUAAGCCUCAUGACCCUGAUCCCGAAGAGGUUAUAGACUUGACACCAGUCCUGGUGUUAGUCGAAGAGUUAUGCAGGAGCAUACACUUUCCACGCUAGAAUAAACCACAGUCUUAGAGAUUCAUUGGACUAUUAGGUGUUCCACGAAUACUAUCUCACGCAGAGAUAGUAGAACCACCUCCCGAGAUAGUCCAACACUCGUCUGGUGAAACCUUAUAUUCCCGACCUCCAGGGUUUCCGCAUCUCAACUUCGUUAGUGUAGAUUCCUUUUAAACAAGCUUGAGAUAGACACUCUACAGUAAACCGAUAACCAUAAUCACACAACCCACUCGACGAUUUAGAAAGUCUCUAUCAGCCAGUUGACAGAAAACACGAAACCAAAGACCACUCGAGAUUCCUAAGAACCAACCUGAAGGGCUACACGCACAGUACGAGUGAGAACGUUAGGAACUUCGGAAUGGCGAUCACGCCAAUGAUGAUCUUGCCAUAGAAGUACACUAUGUUCUGAGUACUGAAAAGCUCUACCACUCCGAGAGCUUAGGACCAUAUGAGAAUUCUCAAGGAGAUUUGGUCCAACCUUCGUCAGACCACUACUACCUUCGGAUAUACCAUAAGAUUCACACCCGAUCGAUCCACUUCUUAGAGUUGAUAUGUGAUUUCCCGACAUCACUCUUCGUGCCUCACUCAUCUUGAUAGAAUCCAUUAAGAACCCUAACCUUGUAGAUACAUCAGUUGGAACCCACUAGCUACACGAGACGGAAUCCGCAUCCUGUACGUGAAGGUCUGUCGGAAUGACAAACACAGACUAGAGUUCACUUGGGAAUGCGAGGACAACCGUAUAGGAAGUACUCUUUUACCUCUACUUGGCCAUUCAUACCUACUUCCUUUCCUAGACGUGAAUUUCGAGACGAAAUUCCCUCUAACGGGGGGAUGAUGUGACAACCCAAGUUGUUCCGUUACAUUUCCCCGUUACCGUUAACGGAAUAUUCCAGUUUAUAAAAGUUCCGUUAAUUAGAGGUCGUCAAUUAAAUAAACAUUUCAUUGUUUAUAUUUAAUAUGCCGUUAAGUCGUGAUAAAAGGGAAUAAAAACGCAUAACACACAUCUCCAUUCAUUUGGAAAAGUUAGUUUUUAUUAUUACGACCACUAAAUCGGGUGCGACCAAAAGCCCCGUAUAACGGCAGUAUUGGGUAGAAUUCCACUGAGCCCCGACUCGGAACCUUAUAUAAAGGUGAGUGGAGUCCAUUGGAGACUUUUUACACUCUCUCUCUAUACUCUCUCUCUCUCUAGACUCGUUUUCGACCCAAAUCCGCAACCAAACGCUUCCAAAUCGUAAGUCCACUUACCCUAGCAUAUUCUAAACAUAUUGGCUUGUGUUUAUACCUCAAAAAUUGUCCCAGUAGGCAUGGAAUAAGGAG
rnacentral:lncRNA from 1 species